UGGCUUAGUGGUAGAGUGCUUGCCUAGCAUGCAUGAGGCCCUGGGUUCGAUUCCUUG
rnacentral:tRNA from 1 species